UCCUGGUGGGGUUCGCGCGGGAGUUUCUACGAGGGUUGAAGGGGGCGGACUAGAGGCACCAGCCGCGCGAGAGGCUCACAGCUCGCGAGUCCGCUGCACCCAGGGCGCGCGGAGCUCCACGGCAUGUGGAGUCCCGGGUGCUUCCCGCGGAGCGCCCGGGGCGCAGGACAGGGUGGUGGAGUGGAGCCUGGAAAAAGGCGGGUUCAGGCUCGGAGUGGCGCAAAUGCGAGAGGAGCUGCAACGUGCCGGGGCAGACAUAGUAAAAGGAGCAGCACCCGUUUGGCUACUGAAAGUGGCGCGGGGGCUUCCAAGACAGACCUGGGGAGGUAGCGGGUGUGAGUCAGUUUGGGGAGCGCUGGAAAACCGGUGCCAGAGAGAAGCAAAGAAAGGGCGCAGGACUUGGAAGAAGUGAGAAGGAACUGUUGCCUCGGGGAGAGCGCGCGGUGCCAAGCACUGCACCAGGCCAAGGCGGGGAUCGCCCAGGGACCCUCUAAGCGUGGUGGAGGUGGUGCUCUGGUCGUAGCAGAGACUGAAAGGAGUAAAUGCAAGUCAGAGACCGUCAUAGCACCGAUGUGCCAGAGCCCUCGGGGAGGCAAUGAAAGGGACGUGGAGUCUGCGCGCUCAGACGACCUGACUUCUUAAAGAACAAGUGUCUUCUGUUCCUGUCUCUCAUUCUGCCUUGUAUCCCCAACGUGGUUCCUGCUACCGUGGCCUCAAAGUUUUGGCAUGAACCCUUGUCCCCUGUCUGUGGCGAUGCUCUGACAACUUUCCUUGGCUGGGACAAGGUGUUCUGGAGCUUCCGCCUGAGCAGACCCAGCUGCUCCAGGGACCAGCCUCUCAUGCAUAUCCUUGGGUCCAAGUGGAGAAAUAGCUCCCAGGACACAUUGAAAAACAACCCCAAGAGACAAAAACCACCCCACCGAAGCCCUUGAGAUCAAGUAGAAACAAAGGAACGGAGAGAAGGUUGAAGAAUAAAAGGGAUGGGGAGAAGGAGGAGGAGGAGGAGAAAACCAAAGACAGAGAGAGUCUCCGAGGCGGGCUGGAGAGAAAUCCGGCUGAGGCUCUGCCGAGAGCUGCCGUCAUUUGCCCAUUUCUGUGGUGUAAACGCUCCCACUGUGACUGACUGAUUUGAAGCCAGCGAAGUGAUGUCACUGAACUCAGGGAUGCUGGAAGGAGAUGCACCCCAUCAUCAGCUCCCACGGGUCCAUCUGGACUCUGGGCUUUCCAUGCGGAAGUCCUUUGUCUGAAGAUGCAGCCGGAUAUUGAAGAAAAACACCCCGAGUGGAAUAUUUGAAAAUGUAACCAAAACGCCGUUUAACACUAUGUCUCAUCUACCUUUCUGAUUUGGGGGGCAUGUUCUAUGAAACAUCUACAAUGACCCAGGUACUUUUCCCAUGGUAUUUAUUUCUCUCCAAAUCUGCUGAGGUCUGGAUUAUUAUCCAUUAUUGUUUUACAGAGGGGGAAACGGAGGCUCAGAGAGGUGAAGCGAGUUACCUGAGCUCACACAGCUGGGAGUCGUGAGGAUCUGUCUGAUUGCUCCCGGGUACUGUGUCCUCAUGACGAAACCGAUGUGGUGGUCACGAGAGGGGUUAACGUGCUACCUGUGUUUUUCCUGAAAACAGGAGUCCUGGCGAGCUGUCCUCACCUUUACAACUUCUCCCACACUAACCUCCACACUAGCCUCCGCCACCAAGCCGUGUGAUUGCUCUUUCCUAAAAUUGCACCCCACCUUGGCCUGCGCUCCCCGGGUUCCUGGGCCUGACGGGAGCAGGACGGAAUCGCCCCCCCACCUGUUUCCAGGAAGGCACUGCCUCUCACAGCCUGAAGGGGGCCUGUCCCCACCCACGCUCCCUUCGCCGCCUGCUCGGGCGGGCGGGCGGCCAUGCUGCCAGGUCUUCAGAAAACCAGGCCUAGCAGCGCUUUCUUCUCUGGAGAGGAGAAGAAUAAUUUCCUUCCACAAAUUGUUCUCUCAGCACCUGGGACUCCCUCUCCUGGACUCUAAAGACUGUGGCCCUUCUGAUUCUUCCCUCUUCCCCUUGACAUCACCUCGGGCCUCAUAGGUGACAACACUUGGUGGCUCAGGGCACAUGGGCCGUGUCCAGCAGUUAGCCUACAGGCUCCGCGUGCCACCUGCCUGGCACUGGGCCAUGGGCACUGCGCUGUCCUUCCGUGACCCUGGGGGUUGUGGAGGGCUGGGGAGAGGCCCCCUUCCGUGUUAUACACAGAGCCCCACAGGGAGAGUGGGAAUGGAGGGGGCGGGGGGAGUCCAUUGUUGAGAUGGGUCUGCGGGGUCACAGGUGCUACUGGGGAUGUGGGCCUGCGAGGCUCAGAGUCACUUCUGCAGGGGACAGGAGUCGGCGCAGACCUGGUCCUCACCUUCUCUCGCUUAACGCCUCUGAACCCCCUAACAAGGGCCUGUCAUGGGCUGCAUGCCGGCCGCCAUCUUUGUAUGUGGAGGGCCUAAGCCCAGUACCCCGGGCUGUGACUCUCUCUGGAGGCAGGGCCUUGGAAGAGGCCACUCAGUUUUUAAAAAGAAGCCCUGACGGUGGGUCGAAUAGGGUCUGACUGGCAUCCUUGGAGGAGGCACUUCCGACGCAGAGACUCCAGGACUGUGCACACAGCUCCAAGGUCGCGUGAGGACACAGGCAGCUGCCUGCCAGGCGUGGAGAGGCCUCAGCGGACACCAGCCCUGACGCACCCGGUCUUGGCCUUCCCGCCUCCAGAACUAUGGGAAACAAGCCUGCUUCGGUCAACCCCGCUCACCCUGGUGUUUUGCCAAUUAACGCACCACCGCCAGGAGGCCCCCUACGGCUCUCCAACCCCGAGCCUUGCUCUCUGCGGCUGGGCACAUUUCCGCCCAGUUGCUGAAGCUCAGCACACUCGAUUUGCACCGUCUGGGUCAAAAGUCUAGCUCUGCCAUUUGCUAGCUCUGUGUGACCCUGAUCUGAUUAUUGAACUGGCCCGAGCUCAGUUUUCUCCUCUAUAAAAUGGCGGUCCUGGUAGUACCUCCCUCUCAAGGGAGAAGGUAAAGCGAAGCACCUAAGCACUCUUCUCGGUUCUUGGUACGUAUUUCCCUUCUGCCACCUUUUCUGCCUUUCAGAGAAAAGCUCAGAUGUCACCUCCAUCAGGAAGCCCUCCUUGAUUGUUCCGGGUCUGGGUUAGGUUCUCUCCAAGGACUUGCUAAAGCAUCCCCCUCCCUUCAAUGUGUCCCUCUGUCCCUGUACUUUGGGUCCUUGUUCUGCUAUAACCCACGCCCAACUCAUGGACCUGGGAGCCACAGAGUCUUGCCCACCACGGGGCUCCCUGUGCUGGGCACGGUGUUGGCCUUAGAGUAUUUCUGGUUACUGAAUGGAAGAUGGUGGGAAUGGAUUGGUGGAGCCAAUAUUUUUCUGAGUCGAUGGCUUGGGACAGGAAGAUCCACUGAAAUAAUACAUCGUCCCGAGAGCCAAAUCAGAAUAACCGUACAUAUUUUUGCAAAGAGCAUUCACUUGGUGUCGGCUAUUGUUUCAGGUGCUUGACACACAGAAACCAAUUUCAUCCUCAUAAAUCCCUGUGAGGAAGGCAUCAUUAUCAUGCCCAUUUUGCAGAUAGGGAAACUGAGGCCCACAGACACAUGCAACUUAUCCAAGCCACACAAAAGCCAGCCCAAGGCCGAGCUGGAGUCGGAGUCCAGGCAUCUGGCUCCUGGUUUCGCUGCUCUCCACUACAGUGCUGACCUUGGUGGCUAGUGAUAGGGUAGAGAGGUCCCUUGUCAUCAGGAAAGGGCUGCAUCUGAUGGGUCUGAACCUUUUUCUCUUUAUAGAAAGGGCCUCAAGCUUGAUGAUCAUCCAUCUAAUCUGCAGUGAAUAAAAAAGGUCCCUAGAAAAAAGGUACACUCAUACAUUGCUGGUGGGGCUGCAAAUUAGUGCAGCCACUUUGGAAAGCAGUGUGGAGAUUCCUUAGAAAACUUGGAAUGGACCCACCAUUUGACCCAGCUAUCCC